GAGUUUGAUCCUGGCUCAGGAUGAACGCUGGCGGCGUGCUUAACACAUGCAAGUCGAACGAACCUUCGGGUUAGUGGCGGACGGGUGAGUAACGCGUGAGAAUCUGCCCUCAGGAGGGGGAUAACGGCUGGAAACGGCCGCUAAUACCCCAUAUGCCGCGAGGUGAAAUGAAUUUCGCCUGAGGAUGAGCUCGCGUCUGAUUAGCUAGUUGGUGUAGGUAAUGGCUCACCAAGGCAUCGAUCAGUAGCUGGUCUGAGAGGAUGAUCAGCCACACUGGGACUGAGACACGGCCCAGACUCCUACGGGAGGCAGCAGUGGGGAAUUUUCCGCAAUGGGCGCAAGCCUGACGGAGCAACGCCGCGUGAGGGAUGAAGGCCUCUGGGCUGUAAACCUCUUUUAUCAAGGAAGAAGAUCUGACGGUACUUGAUGAAUAAGCCACGGCUAAUUCCGUGCCAGCAGCCGCGGUAAUACGGGAGUGGCAAGCGUUAUCCGGAAUUAUUGGGCGUAAAGCGUCCGCAGGCGGCCCUUCAAGUCUGCUGUUAAAACGUGGAGCUUAACUCCAUCAUGGCAGUGGAAACUGUUGGGCUUGAGUGUGGUAGGGGCAGAGGGAAUUCCCGGUGUAGCGGUGAAAUGCGUAGAUAUCGGGAAGAACACCAGUGGCGAAGGCGCUCUGCUGGGCCAUCACUGACGCUCAUGGACGAAAGCCAGGGGAGCGAAAGGGAUUAGAUACCCCUGUAGUCCUGGCCGUAAACGAUGAACACUAGGUGUCGGGGGAAUCGACCCCUUCGGUGUCGUAGCCAACGCGUUAAGUGUUCCGCCUGGGGAGUACGCACGCAAGUGUGAAACUCAAAGGAAUUGACGGGGGCCCGCACAAGCGGUGGAGUAUGUGGUUUAAUUCGAUGCAACGCGAAGAACCUUACCAGGGUUUGACAUCCUGCGAAUCUCUUGGAAACGAGAGAGUGCCUUCGGGAGCGCAGUGACAGGUGGUGCAUGGCUGUCGUCAGCUCGUGUCGUGAGAUGUUGGGUUAAGUCCCGCAACGAGCGCAACCCACGUCUUUAGUUGCCAGCAUUUAGUUGGGCACUCUAGAGAGACCGCCGGUGAUAAACCGGAGGAAGGUGUGGAUGACGUCAAGUCAUCAUGCCCCUUACAUCCUGGGCUACACACGUACUACAAUGCUACGGACAAAGGGCAGCAAGUUCGCGAGGACAAGCAAAUCCCAUAAACCGUGGCUCAGUUCAGAUUGUAGGCUGCAACUCGCCUACGUGAAGUAGGAAUCGCUAGUAAUCGCAGGUCAGCAUACUGCGGUGAAUACGUUCCCGGGCCUUGUACACACCGCCCGUCACACCAUGGAAGUUGGCCACGCCCGAAGCCGUUACUCCAACCCUUGUGGAGGAGGACGUCGAAGGUGGGGCUGAUGACUGGGGUGAAGUCGUAACAAGGUAACC
rnacentral:rRNA from 1 species